UGCCUACGGGGCGCAGCAGUGGGGAAUAUUGCGCAAUGGGCGAAAGCCUGACGCAGCGACGCCGCGUGAGGGAUGAAGGUCUUCGGAUCGUAAACCUCUGUCAGCAGGGAAGAACGGUCACUGUGCUAAUCAGCAGUGAAUUGACGGUACCUGCAAAGGAAGCACCGGCUAACUACGUGCCAGCAGCCGCGGUAAUACGUAGGUGGCGAGCGUUAUCCGGAUUUAUUGGGUUUAAAGGGUGCGCAGGCGGGAGAUCAAGUCAGCGGUAAAAUGUCGGGGCUCAACCCCGGCCGACCGUUGAAACU
rnacentral:rRNA from 1 species